rnacentral:rRNA from 1 species
GAUGAACGCUAGCGGGAGGCUUAACACAUGCAAGUCGAGCGGUAGGGCAGCAAUGCCUGAGAGCGGCGCACGGGUGCGUAACGCGUAUGCAACCUGCCUUAUACAGGGGAAUAGCCCAUGGAAACGUGGAUUAAUGUCCCAUAGGAUUACGGAUUCGCAUGGAUUUGUGAUUAAAACUGAGGUGGUAUAAGAUGGGCAUGCGUCUGAUUAGGUAGUUGGUAGGGUAAUGGCCUACCAAGCCGACGAUCAGUAGGGGUUCUGAGAGGAUUACCCCCCACACUGGUACUGAGACACGGACCAGACUCCUACGGGAGGCAGCAGUGAGGAAUAUUGGUCAAUGGCCGGAAGGCUGAACCAGCCAUCCCGCGUGCAGGAUGACGGCCCUAUGGGUUGUAAACUGCUUUUGUACCUGAAGAAACCUGGUUACGAGUAACCAGUUGCCGGUAAGGUAUGAAUAAGCAUCGGCCAACUCCGUGCCAGCCGCCGCCGUAAUAC